rnacentral:rRNA from 1 species
CCCUUAGAUGUUCUGGCCGCACGCGCGCUACACUGACGAUGGCAACGAGUUUUUCCUUCGCCGAAAGGUGUGGGUAAUCUUUUGAAACAUCGUCGUGCUGGGGAUAGAUCAUUGCAAUUUUUGAUCUUGAACGAGGAAUUCCUAGUAAGCGCGAGUCAUCAGCUCGCGUUGAUUACGUCCCUGCCCUUUGUACACACCGCCCGUCGCUACUACCGAUUGAAUGGUUUAGUGAGGACUCCUGAUUGGCGCCGCCGCCCCGGCAACGGAGCAGCGGACUGCCGAAAAGUUGUUCAAACUUGAUCAUUUAGAGGAAGUAAAAGUCGUAACA